CAUCACCUCUAGCAUAUCAAGUAUUAGAGGCACUGCCUGCCCAGUGACUAGCGUUAACCGGCCGCGGUAUCCUGACCGUGCAAAGGUAGCAUAAUCAUUUGUUCCUUAAUUAGGGACUGGAAUGAACGGCUUGACGAGGGUUUAACUGUCUCUUAUUUCUAAUCAGUGAAAUUGACCUCCCCGUGAAGAGGCGGGGAUUUUAAAAUAAGACGAGAAGACCCUAUGGAGCUUUAAUUUACUAGUUUAAUCACAACAACAAACAACCUACUGGUAUAACACACAAAAAUGUAAACUAAUAAUUUUGGUUGGGGUGACCUCGGAGCAUAAAAAAACCUCCGAAUGAUUUUAACCUAGACACACAAGUCCAAGUAACUUAUAUCUUAUUGACCCAAAAACCUUUUGAUCAACGGACCAAGUUACCCUAGGGAUAACAGCGCAAUCCUAUUCAAGAGUCCAUAUCGACAAUUAGGGUUUACGACCUCGAUGUUGGAUCAGGACAUCCCAAUGGUGCAGAAGCUAUUAAUGGUUCGUUUGUUCAACGAUUAAAGUCCUACGUGAUCA
rnacentral:rRNA from 1 species